rnacentral:lncRNA from 1 species
UAACAUAAUAACCAAAUCUCUUAAUUCAAUAUAAGAAGCGUUACAACUUUUUAAGAUGGGUCAAAAACCUUAAAAUAUGAAUCGAUAUAAACAUACCAAUUAAUUAUUGUCUCUAUGGUGGAACUUCUCCUUUUUUUUUUUUGAAUAAUCAAAGAGGUUCUGGGUCAAAGCCCAUACAUCCCCUCAGACCCGAAACCAAAGCAUGUUAUAUGGUUUCAUCCCAAGCGCUACUCGAACCGGCGACCUCUAAGUUUCUGCCAGAGAUAUACAAGAAAACAUGUUAUUAGCGACUGCAAAAACAGUCAUUAUUCAGUCGCUAAGUACCAUAGAACGACUGUUUAGCGACUAAAUAACGUAGUAGCCAAACCAUGC